rnacentral:rRNA from 1 species
UUGUAGUCAUAUGCUUGUCUCAAAGAUUAAGCCAUGCAUGUCUAAGUAUAAGCAACUAUACGGUGAAACUGCGAAUGGCUCAUUAAAUCAGUUAUCGUUUAUUUGAUAGUACCUUACUACUUGGAUAACCGUGGUAAUUCUAGAGCUAAUACAUGCUAAAAACCCCAACUUCGGAAGGGGUGUAUUUAUUAGAUAAAAAACCAACGCCCUCCGGGGCUCCUUGGUGAUUCAUAAUAACUAAACGAAUCGCAUGGCCUUGCGCCGGCGAUGGUUCAUUCAAAUUUCAGCCCUAUCAACUUUCGAUGGUAGGAUAGUGGCCUACCAUGGUAUCAACGGGUAACGGGGAAUUAGGGUUCUAUUCCGGAGAGGGAGCCUGAGAAACGGCUACCACAUCCAAGGAAGGCAGCAGGCGCGCAAAUUACCCAAUCCCGACACGGGGAGGUAGUGACAAUAAAUACUGAUACAGGGCUCUUUUGGGUCUUGUAAUUGGAAUGAGUACAAUUUAAAUCCCUUAACGAGGAACAAUU